UACGUAGGUGGCAAGCGUUGUCCGGAUUUACUGGGCGUAAAGAGCGCGCAGGCGGUCGUGCAAGUCGCGUGUGAAAGCCCCCGGCUCAACUGGGGAGGGUCACGCGAUACUGCUCGACUCGAAGGCAGGAGAGGGAAGUGGAAUUCCCGGUGUAGUGGUGAAAUGCGUAGAUAUCGGGAAGAACACCAGUGGCGAAGGCGGCACUCUGGGCCGGAAUCGA
rnacentral:rRNA from 1 species